UAAGUAAAAGCCAAAAAUGAGGCGUCUAACUGUUAAUUAGAAGAUUGUAAUGUAAUUUACUUGCUUAG
rnacentral:tRNA from 1 species